rnacentral:antisense_RNA from 1 species
GCUGGAACACGGCGGCUCUUCUUUCUUCCACUCUGAGACAAGAACACAUGCGCUUUUCCUGUAAGUGUUGUCUCCCCAGUUAUUCUGGAGACCAUCCAGAAGAGAAUGAGAAUAAAGAAACCAACAGAAGAAAGAUAAAGAAGGAAGAAUAAAAGAUACCAAAAUGACAGUAUCGCUUGCUUCGGAGAGUUUCACUCUUGUGGCCCAGUCCGGAGUGCAGUGGCACCAUCUCAGCUCAUUGCAACCUCCGCCUCCCCGGUUCAAGCGAUUCUCCUGCCUCAGCCUCCCGAGUAGCUGGGAUUACAGGUACCCGCCACCAUGCCCAGCUAAGUUUUUGUAUUUUUUAGUAGAGACGGGGUUUCACCAUGUUAGCCAGGAUGGAUGUUCUCGAUCUCCUGACCUCGUGAUCCACCUGCCUCGGCCUCCCAAAGUGCUGGGAUUACAGGCGUGAGCCA